UGUAAAAGUUGCGAGCACAACUUUCGAUAAGGCCAAGAUGACAAUAAUAAACUCGUCACGUACUACGUUCUCUGGUAGGAAAAAAAAAUCGUUAAAUGAAAUUCUCCGCGACCUGAACGAAGUUACGGGACACGGGACACCGUUGCGACGGCAUUUCGCAACGAAUGGGAGAGUUCGUUUAGAUAACCACCAGCUUGUAAAAUUGCUAAAUUACAGCUUAGUGACAUUUGCCAGCGCGAUACGACGGUAACGAAAUAAAAGUCUCGUAAGGGACACCACUCGAUCGUAAUCACGUCGAUUCGUAUGGAACUGUGCACAUUGGAUAGAGCAAUGAGAAAUAUUAGACGCGUUCAGGGAUGAAAAUGUUCAGAAUGGAGGGCGAACAGAAUUGUGUCUGUUUUGUUUUACAGCUCUCCAUUUCUACUGUCACAAUUGUAGACGAAAUACAAAUGCAUGCUCAAAUAUAUCACAAAAACUAACAGAGGUAGGAGAAAAUAUUGAUGCUGUGGAAUCGAUAGAAUAUUGUAAAGUUAACGCGGAGAAUGUAUCCAAAGCGAGAUUAUUAAAAAUUAAAGGUCACUUAGCACGAAAGUCUUUGGGUAGUUUUUUAAAAAGCAGUCAAGGUUUUAAUAGGGCACUUUAAAGCUGCUGUUAGCAUAAAUUGUUUACGAAGAACACAAAGAACGGUUUUUAUCUUGCCAGGCAAAAUUCAGUAAAUUAUGUUAAAAUCCUUGAACUGAUAACUCUGUUACGAAAUUUUCCCUUUUAAUACAAGCAUUGAUAAUUAAAGAUACAUUAUUUUAGCCAAAAGUAUAUAUAUCUGUUGUUAUGACUAUCAAAUUUCCGCUUAUUCUCAAAUUUUCACUAUAAUUUUACAGCGUCGAUGUAUGAUCUUCAUAUCAACCGUGAAGCAUGAAUGGAGUUAACGUUAGCGGAGUAGUAUCUUUGCAGGUAUAAUUAAAUCACGAGUAAUCGUUUCGAAGUUAACUUUCGGCGGGGAUUUGCGCGGAGAUUAAACUUCGCCGUGCUUUUUUCCCGGAGACUUCGCUGUUUCGUCAAUUUUAAUUCCAUCGAGCCAGCUUGCCACGAACUUUUGGAAGUUCGCGAACUCGUCCCUCUCGGAAGUCGACGAGGGAAAAAUUAUUUCAAUAUUCUAGAAGCCUCGAUAUUCCCUUGCGGCCGUCAUUCCUUGUCGAAACACGAUCCUUUCGACAAAUUUAUUCGGUGGAUGAUUGCACGCUAUCAAGUAAAUCAACAUUUUUACUUUUUCGACAGAUAUCACCUGUUCUCCUCUUUUUUAUACACUAAAUUUGAAUAAAAACAAAAAAUGAGUGUUUUUUA